ACAAAAAGGAUGAACGAAGGUGGUCCACCAAAUUUUGGAGCAAGUGCAAACGGGGGGAAGGUUGGGCUCGGCUAACACAAUUAAAUUCAGGUUAAAGAUUGUUUUUUCAUUGGAAAAAAAGGCAAAUCCGAUCGAGCUCCAGGUAUGAGGCAGAUGUGGGAAACAAGAUAGGAAGAUGAUGAUCUGAUCCUCUUCCUCUUCGAUCUCAUCUUGUCCAUGCUUGUUAUCGCCCGCACGACGACCGUCACGCCCAGUCACAUCUAAGUGGCGAGUUAAGUUUGGGAAUGGAAGCGGGACUUUUGAGAAGGAGAGUACCAAUCCGGAUAGGCAGAUAUGCACACCGUCCAGUCGCCAGGUGAGCUAGUGGAGGUGAUCUUGGAAAGCUAGCGUGGAGGAAGAUUUAAUAUAGAACUUCAAUGAGUUUGAACUGCAGCAACAGGAUUUCGAAAUCGCAAGUAUUUCAUACUGUUCUUGCAAUAGAAGAUUAAAGCUAUGCCACUGAGAAACACUACAAGAGGAAUACAAAAAAUUGAGUGUAUGGUUGUGAAUCCGAAUAGGGCCUGCAGAUUGGAGCUUAUAAUGCCAUGACAUGUUUCAUAUACAUGUCUCCAAACUUGCAUGUUCUUGAACACUUUUUUAACCUUGUCUAGGCAAAUUAUUAGGAGUUGAAUAUAUGAAUUUUAUCCAUUUGUAUUCAAUGAUAAAUCUUAAAUGAUUCAGAUAGUUGAUGAUAUUGUUUUAA